rnacentral:rRNA from 1 species
AGCAGUCGCCGCGGUAAUACGAGGGGGGCAAGCGUUGUUCGGAAUUAUUGGGCGUAAAGGGUGCGUAGGCGGUUUGAUAAGUCUCGUGUGAAAUCUCUGGGCUCAACCCAGAGUCUGCACGGGAAACUGUCGGGCUUGAGUAUGGGUGAGGUGAGUGGGAUUUCCGGUGUAGCGGUGAAAUGCGUAGAUAUCGGAAGGAACACCUGUGGCGAAAGCGGCUCACUGGACCAUAACUGACGCUGAGGCACGAAAGCUAGGGGAGCAAACAGGAUUAGAUACCCCGGUAGUCCCUGUCUCUUAUAC